rnacentral:tRNA from 1 species
GGGCGAGUGGCGAAACGGCAGACGCGAGGGACUUAAAAUCCCUUGUCCUUCGGGACAUGCGGGUUCGAUUCCCGCCUCGCCCA